ACCAUACNAAAAAAAAAAGAACAAAAAAGAUACAACUCUUAGCGGUGGAUAUCUUGUUCUC
rnacentral:rRNA from 1 species